UAGGGAAUCUUCCACAAUGGACGCAAGUCUGAUGGAGCAACGCCGCGUGAGUGAAGAAGGUUUUCGGAUCGUAAAGCUCUGUUGUUGGUGAAGAAGGAUAGAGGUAGUAACUGGCCUUUAUUUGACGGUAAUCAACCAGAAAGUCACGGCUAACUACGUGCCAGCAGCCGCGGUAAUACGUAGGUGGCAAGCGUUGUCCGGAUUUAUUGGGCGUAAAGCGAGCGCAGGCGGAAGAAUAAGUCUGAUGUGAAAGCCCUCGGCUUAAACGAGGAACUGCAUCGGAAACUGUUUUUCUUGAGUGGAGAGGAAGAGAGUGGAACUCCAUGUGUAGCGGUGGAAUGCGUAGAUAUAUGGAAGAACACCAGUGGCGAAGGCGACUCUCUGGUCUGCAACUGACGCUGAGGCUCGAAAGCAUGGGUAGCGAACAGG
rnacentral:rRNA from 1 species